UGCAAGUAAAGCGAACUUGCGGGAGCUUGCUCCCAAAAGUUAGCGGCGGACGGGUGAGUAACACGUGGGCAACCUGCCUGUAAGACUGGGAUAACAUCGGGAAACCGAUGCUAAUACCGGAUAAUCCUUUUCCUCUCAUGAGGAAAAGCUGAAAGUCGGUUUACGCUGACACUUACAGAUGGGCCCGCGGCGCAUUAGCUAGUUGGUGAGGUAACGGCUCACCAAGGCGACGAUGCGUAGCCGACCUGAGAGGGUGAUCGGCCACACUGGGACUGAGACACGGCCCAGACUCCUACGGGAGGCAGCAGUAGGGAAUCUUCCACAAUGGACGAAAGUCUGAUGGAGCAACGCCGCGUGAGCGAUGAAGGCCUUCGGGUCGUAAAGCUCUGUUGUUAGGGAAGAACAAGUACCGGAGUAACUGCCGGUACCUUGGACGGUACCUAACCAGAAAGCCACGGCUUACUACGUGCCAAGCAGCCGCGGUAAUACGUA
rnacentral:rRNA from 1 species